rnacentral:lncRNA from 1 species
AAGAAGAAGAAGAAGAAGAAGAAGAAGAAGAAGAAGAAGAAGAAGAAGAAGAAGAAGAAGAAAAGUAUUUUAUGCAGUGUACAGAGGGCACAGUUGAUUGAUUGGAAAAUACUUUCUCUGUCUAUUCUACUCUAGUGCCUCCCCUUUCAGAGCCACAUGGUUCAGAAUGUUUCCCAUAUGGCCUAGUUAAUCACAGCUGAGGACUUGGAACAUGCACUCAAAGUUAGUGAACUUAGUAACUGACAGAACAAAAGGUCUCUCUGAAAGGUCAUUUCAAACAUCUAAAUCACUGCCUUCCUGCCUUCAUAAUAGGGAGGAUCACAGCUUACUCAUUUGGAAAUUGAACCAGAAAUAGCUUUGUUUACAAGGCCAGACUUGCACAUUCCUUACCUUAGCUAUUUUGGAGGAUAUCUUGAUCUGGACCUGCUCGUCAUUAGAUUCCAGCCCUUCCUGCAAGCCUUGCAGUCUGUCCACCUCCAGGCAAAUGCCUAUAGUUAGCAAAGGGAGAAAGAGGCUUUUAAAACACAACAGAGUUGAAAAGUCUUGCUGUGUUCUAAUGAGACAGUAAUUCAGCUGUUGGAUGCUUUUUUUUCCCUCUAAACAUCUAGAAGGUCACAUGAUGAAGGGGUGACCACAAAAGCAGUUUCUACAGGUAGCUCCAUGCAAUGAUCUCAUAUUCUACGCAUAGAAGUCAUCUGAGGUGUGUUCUUUGCUCCUGUUUCUAUUUUUGCAGGAGAAGAAGCUAUGGCAGCACAGCAUGAAGCCAUUUGCCUGAGGUCACACAGAAAGGGCUGUGUGAAUUUGAACCUGUGUCUGUCUGACAAAAAUGCCAGGGGCUUCUUCUUCUUCUUCUUGAAGUUUCAUUCUGUGUUCUGUGCAUCCGUGUCAUCCCAGAUCAUGGACCUCAGAAGUUUCCCCAGUGCAUCCAUUGAUCGUUCGUGGAGAAACUGAAAUCAAGCGUGACUGUUAGUCUCAGGCUGUCGUGAAAGCAGCCCCCGGGGAACUUUCCUCUCUUCUCAGUCCCUGGUCACAUACCUCAAUGCGCUCCUUGUCCUUGUCCGUUUCACCCCCACUUUUGAGUUUUUCCAGAGGUGGAAGGGGCAGCAACCUCCGAAUGUUCUCUUCAAGAAUGUUCAGGUGGUCGUUUAGUGAGAGCUGAGGUUUCAGUUUGCUGAGAUGAGACCCACAUGGAGGAAAGGAUACAAUUAAACCUGCCAUUAUCCUACUGGGAAAUGCUCAAGAUCUGUCCAUAAAAUCUGAGCAGGUGACAAAUAUGUGACACUUUCUGAAAUAUUUGAAAUAUUGAGAGAGGUGGUGGUAACAGGACAGAUUGGGAAGAUGUUAAGGACCAUUGAAACACUUGUAUUUGUUAGAGUCACGAUUGGUGUUGAUAAAUUCUUUUUUUUUUUUUUUUGGUGUUGAUAAAUUCUUAUUGUUAGCAUUUCCUGUAAAAAAGCAAAGUUGGUAAGGGAUGGGGCAAUUUGUCUCUCUGGCUUUCUUCCCUCUCUCCCUCCCUCCCUCCCUCCUAAACAUUUGCUAUAUAGUUAUCAGAACAAUAACUGACAUGACUUGGGAAAAUGCAAAUGUUAGGUAAAUAUGAAAAGGGUAUUCUUUAAAAUUUGUAUAAAUGUAAAUCAAGACAAUAGGUACAUUUCAGAGCUUCUGUAGUAGGAAAAAAAUAAAAAUGGAGAAUGUGAAAAAGGUACUCAGAGAGGAGUGUGAAUCAGUGCUGAGCUGGGAAGAUUGUUUACCAUCUUCUCAUUGUCGUUGUCUGAUGCUUUUCUUAAUAAAACAGGUGUACUGAUAUAAAAGUGCUGCACAAUACACUGCAUCUAUUCAAGGUCCCCACUUUAACAAAUUUGGACAUGGAGGCAUAAGUGAAAACGACACCAUCAUUGACACAUAACAUUGCUAGCAUCCCUUGAUUUUGUUUCUGUCAAUUUGUGGGCUAUCUUUUUCUCCACAUUGGCCCCACACAAUCAACACAUUUUUGUGUGUGUGAUUAGUGAUUAGUCUAGUUCUGCUCAAACUGAGUAUAGCCAGUAGCCACAUAUGGCCAUUCGAGUUAAUUAAUAUGAAUUAAGAUGUCAUGUGUGACAUAUUCUGCAUUUUGAAAAUUUUGAAUGAAUGAUAAUGUAGUUUGAAAAAUAUUGAACACAGGAUGAAAUGAUAAUAUACUGGAUAUAUUGAGUAAAAUGAAACAAAACAUGCUACUAAGAAAGAAUUUGAUAAUUUUAGUGCUGGGGGGAAGGGUUUUAUGCAUUCAGGUCAAGUACUAUAUUGUACUCAGCUGUUACUGAUUGUAGAAACUUGUUACAAUGUCACAGUAAUCAAAAUUGUGCAGUAUAAGUAUAUGGCUAGACUCAUGGACCUGUGGAGUAGAACACACAGAGCCCAGAAAUAAACCCUCAAAUAAGUAUGAUUGACUUUUGAUUUGGAUGCACACGUUUACUGUGUGCAUUUAAAAGUAUGAAACAUGGGAUAUAUAUAUAUAUAUGAAAACAUUUUCAUAUAUAUAUAUGAAAACGAUGUAAUAGGUAACUUAUAUAAUAGGUUAUAUAACCUCCCCACACUGUAGUAAGAUCAUCUAUAAUUUAUUCAUGGAGCUGAAAUCUUGAAUUAGCAUGCCAUUUGGAUCACAGCUGUUAGUGGGGCACAUUAUCUUCAGACUUAUUGUACAGAUAUCUGUAUUCUGUAUUCUUUGAUCAUCAUUGUUUUAUUUCCCUUAGCCUUGCCUUUAGUACCCAUUGUUUUAUUUUCUUUCUCUCUCUUUGUCUUUGAAUUUUUUCCUUAGAUUUACCAUAUAAUAGAGACCCAAUAGUACUUUUUCUUUCCAUGUCUGGUUUAUUUUAUUUGACAUAAUGUCCUCUAGAUGAACCCAUGUUGUGACAAAGAACAAGAUAUUUUAAUUUUUAAGCUGGAUAAUAUUCUAUUGUGUCUAUAUUUCCCACAGUCUUGUAAACACUUGUCUGUUGAUGGAUAGCUAGGUUGCUUUUCUACCAUGGCUUUCAGGAAAGACCCUGAGAUGAACACUGGAGUUACUUUUCAAGGCAGUGAUCUCAUUUUCCUUGGGUAUCUACCCACAAGAGGGACUAAAGGGUUAUGUGAUAAUUCUGCUUUCAAUUUCUGUUGAAACUUCCAUAAUGUUUUCUCCAAUGCACCAAUAUCCAUGCCAACAACCACACUACAGGAUUCUCUUUUUCUCCCAUCCCCAGCAACACUUACUUCUUUUUAGGUAAUAUAGAUCUUAAUGGGUGCAAAGUGAUACAGUAUUUUUGAUUUUCAUGUCCUUGAUUAGGAGUGAUCAUGAGUAUUUUAUACACAAUUGUUAAACACAGAAAUAAAUAAAAAUGAAAAAAAUGUCAUUUGUGAAAUAUGGGAAUUCACAAGAUGAAGUGAAAAAAAAAAUCAGUGUGAAAGGUCAUAUGGGAACAGGAUCUCAGGUCUGUGAAGAAAUUGAGGACCAGAGAUAAGGACAUAAAAAUGUUGUCAAAUAUGACAAUAGGGGCAUCUUGGGUGAGUUUUGUUAUUUUAACUUUACUUUUCAAAUUUUAACAGUAAAUAGUAUAAUUCUUUAACUGCACUGGAGACUAUAACUCUUAAAAACAUGAACAAAUUUAUUUUCUUUGUUGGGUUUAUCAUGGCUAGCUAACUAAAGCUGGAAUGUGAUGAGAUAUUUCAUAAGUUUUUAAUUUGAGGAUUAAAAUUUGUCUGUAGGCUAAGAUCUUGGAUGAGAAACUUCGUUUUGUGUAGAAAUUUGAGUCUCUUAUCUAUUAAUUAAUAUGACUCCUCUGAGUAGCUGUUUGACCCUGACAGUUAUCAAAUGACCAAUGUCUUAGCCAAUUCGGUAACUCUCAAGGAGAGAAAGCUGUUAUUUGUGAGCCCCACUAAAUAAAUGUGGUUAUUUUGGGGAGGAUAUACUGGAGUCUUCACUGACAGAUAAGUCAGUUGAUAGCCAGGAGGAGGCUGAAAGGGAGAAAAUAAGAUUAAGAAAGAUUUCGGGUGGAGUGGGUGGCUCACAAGCAUGAGAUUCUGAGUUUGCAUCCCUAGAACCCGAAGGAUGGACUCAAGAACCUACAUAUAAAAGCUGCAGCGGUGCUGGGCAUUGGUGACGCAUGGCUUUAAUCCCCGCAUUCGGGAGGCAGAGGCAGAGGCAGGCGGAUCUCUGUGAGUUCGAGGCCAGCCUUGUCUAAAAAACACCACGAAAAACCCCCCCAAAAAAAAAAAAAAAAAAAAAAAAAAAAAAAAAAAAAAAAAAAAAAAAAAAAAAAAAAAAAAAAACUGCAGUGGUGUUGUGCACCUGUAACCUCAGUCUGGUGUGGAUACAGAGAGA